rnacentral:rRNA from 1 species
AAUGAACGCUGGCGGCAGGCCUAACACAUGCAAGUCGAGCGGACGAAGGAAGAUUGCUCCUGGAUUAAGCGGCGGACGGGUGAGUAAUGAAUAGGAAUCUGACUGGUAGUGGGGGAUAACGUAAGGAAACGGGAGCUAAUACCGCAUACGUUCUGAGGGAGAAAGUGGGGGAUCUUAGGACAUAACGCUAUCAGAUGAGCCUAGGUGGGAUUAGCUAGUUGGAGGGGUAAAGGCCUACCAAGGCGACGAUCCGUAACUAGCUUGGGGGGUGGAUCAGUCACACUGAAAUGAAGACACGUUCCAGAUCCUAACGGGAGGCAGCGUUGGGGAAUUUUCGACAUUGGGCGAAGGCCUGCUCCAGCCAUGCCGCUUGGUUGUAGAAGUUCUUCGGUUUGUAAAGCACUUUAAGUUGGGAGAAAAUACAUUUAGUUAAUACCUUGCUGUUUGGACGUAACCAACAGAAUAAGCACCGCCUACUUUCUU